rnacentral:rRNA from 2 species
CAGAAUCCGGUUGAUCCUGCCGGACCUGACUGCUAUCGGAUUGAUACUAAGCCAUGCGAGUCUUUGUAGCAAUACAAGGCAGACGGCUCAGUAACACGUAGUCAAUCUAACCUAUGGACGGGGAUAACCUCGGGAAACUGAGGAUAAACCCCGAUAGAUCAUUAUGCCUGGAAUGGUUUAUGGUCUAAAUGAUUCGUCGCCGUAGGAUGGGACUGCGGUCUAUCAGCUUGUUGGUGAGGUAAUGGCCCACCAAGGCUAUAACAGAUACGGGCUCUGAGAGGAGAAGCCCGGAGAUGGGUACUGAGACACGGACCCAGGCCCUAUGGGGCGCAGCAGGCGAGAAAACUUUGCAAUGUGCGAAAGCACGACAAGGUUAAUCCGAGUGGUUCCUGCUAAAGGAAUCUUUUGUCAGUCCUAAAAACACUGAUGAAUAAGGGGUGGGCAAGUUCUGGUGUCAGCCGCCGCGGUAAAACCAGCACCUCAAGUGGUCAGGAUGAUUAUUGGGCCUAAAGCAUCCGUAGCCUGCUCUGUAAGUUUUCGGUUAAAUCUAUACGCUCAACGUAUGGGCUGCCGGGAAUACUGCAAAGCUAGGGAGUGGGAGAGGUAGACGGUACUCGGUAGGAAGGGGUAAAAUCCUUUGAUCUAUUGA